AUACCUACUUGGCAGGGGAGAUGCCAUGAUCAGGAAGGUGGUUUUCCCAGGUGGAGGCUUAGCCCUUGCACUGGGAUUGGAUUUCCCCAAAUCUGGGAUACGCAACUGCAUAAUUUGUGUUCGUGGGGGACUGUGUUCACUCUCUCUCCCC
rnacentral:snRNA from 1 species